CUCUGUGUAGAGUAAUGGAUAGCGCUUUGGACUUCUAAUCCAAAAGUCAUUAGUUUGAAUCUCAACUCAGAUG